rnacentral:rRNA from 1 species
GGGCCCGCACAAGCAGCGGAGCAUGUGGUUUAAUUCGACGCAACGCGAAGAACCUUACCUGGGCUUGACAUGUUCCUGACCGGCGUGGAAACACGUCUUCCUUCGGGGCAGGAUCACAGGUGGUGCA